UACGGAGGAUUCGAGCGUUGUCCGGAUUUAUUGGGUUUAAAGGGUGCGUAGGCGGAUUUUUAAGUCAGUGGUGAAAGCCUGCAGCUCAACUGUAGAAUUGCCAUUGAAACUGAAAAUCUUGAAUUUGGUUAAAGUAGGCGGAAUGUAUCAUGUAGCGGUGAAAUGCUUAGAUAUGAUACAGAACACCGAUAGCGAAGGCAGCUUGCUGAACCAAUAUUGACGCUGAGGCACGAAAGCGUGGGGAGCAAACAGG
rnacentral:rRNA from 1 species